ACUUGAAAAUGAAUAAAAUUAAUUGAGAAACACAGUAAAUUGUUCUAACGAAAAGUCAGGCUUUACAAAGUGGCUUUCAUAGUACUUUUCUGACCACGGUUUUCUGGAGUUUUUUCGUAUGGAGUUUGUAAGCUUCCUGACAUGUUAUUUUUGGCAGAUUUUGAUGGAUGUACAUUGAUGGAUAGCCACGUGGAUCCAGAAA
rnacentral:lncRNA from 10 species